rnacentral:rRNA from 1 species
AGCGAACGCUGGCGGCGUGCUUAACACAUGCAAGUCGAGCGAAGGUGUUUCAAGGGUAACCUUGAGAUACACUUAGCGGCGGACGGGUGAGUAAUACGUGGAUAACUUACCUCUAGGCCUGGGAUAACCCCGGGAACGUGGGGCGUAAUACCUGAUAAGACCACAUUGUCUACGGACAAAGGGUAAAAGGUGGCUGUGCAAACAGCUAUCGCCAAAAGAAUAGGUUCACGUCCCA